rnacentral:rRNA from 1 species
UACAGAGGGUGCAAACGUUGCUCGGAAUCAUUGGGCGUAAAGCGCACGUAGGCGGCCCAGCAAGUGGGGAGUGAAAGCCCUCGGCUUAACCGAGGAAGUGCUUUCCAAACUACUGGGCUUGAGUACUGAAGAGGGUCGCGGAAUUCCCGGUGUAGAGGUGAAAUUCGUAGAUAUCGGGAGGAACACCAGUGGCGAAGGCGGCUCACUGGCCCGGUACUGACGCUGAGGUGCGAAAGCGUGGGGAGCGAACAGG